GCCUCCUUAGCUCAGUGGUAGAGCGCGUCACUCGUAAUGAUGAGGUCAGUCGUUCAAACCGGCUAGGAGGCA
rnacentral:tRNA from 1 species